GAUGAACGCUAGCUACAGGCUUAACACAUGCAAGUCGAGGGGAAACGACAUCGAAAGCUUGCUUUUGAUGGGCGUCGACCGGCGCACGGGUGAGUAACGCGUAUCCAACCUGCCCACCACUUGGGGAUAACCUUGCGAAAGUAAGACUAAUACCCAAUGAUAUCUCUAGAAGACAUCUGAAAGAGAUUAAAGAUUUAUCGGUGAUGGAUGGGGAUGCGUCUGAUUAGCUUGUUGGCGGGGUAGCGGCCCACCAAGGCUACGAUCAGUAGGGGUUCUGAGAGGAAGGUCCCCCACAUUGGGACUGAGACACGGUCCAAACUCCUACGGGAGGCAGCAGUGAGGAAUAUUGGUCAAUGGGCGAGAGCCUGAACCAGCCAAGUAGCGUGCAGGAUGACGGCCCUAUGGGUUGUAAACUGCUUUUAUAAGGGAAUAAAGUGAGCCUCGUGAGGCUUUUUGCAUGUACCUUAUGAAUAAGGACCGGCUAAUUCCGUGCCAGCCGCCGCAGUAA
rnacentral:rRNA from 1 species